GACGAACCAUGCAACCGUUAUUCGGAUUCACUGGGCUUAAAGCGUGCGUAGGCGGUCUUGUUAGUCAGGUGUGAAAGCCCUCAGCUCAACUGAGGAAUUGCGCUUGAUACUGCAUGACUAGAGAAUGAUAGAGGUGGGUGGAACUGAUGGUGGAGCGGUGAAAUGCGUUGAUAUCCGGAGGAAUACCAAAGGCGAAGGCAGUGUCCUGGGGAGUGUCUGACGCUCAGGCGCGAAAGCUAGGGGAGCGAACAGG
rnacentral:rRNA from 1 species